AUUGAACGCUGGCGGCAGGCUUAACACAUGCAAGUCGAACGAGUGGCGGACGGGUGAGUAAUGCUUGGGAAUCUAGCUUAUGGAGGGGGAUAACUACGGGACACUGUAGCUAAUACCGCGUACCAUAGGCUGAGCCCAAGUGGGAUUAGGUAGUUGGUGGGGUAAAGGCUCACCAAGCCGACGAUCUCUAGCUGGUCUGAGAGGAUGACCAUCCACACUGAGACUGAGCCACAGCCCAGACUCCUACGGGAGGCAGCAGUGGGGAAUAUUGCGCAAUGGGGGCAACCUGACGCAGCCAUGCCGCGUGUAUGAAGAAGGCCUUCGGGUUGUAAAGUUCUUUCGGUAGCGAGGCGUUAUCUGCAGAAGAAGCACCGGCUAACUCCGUGCCAGCAGCCGCGGUAAUUC
rnacentral:rRNA from 1 species